UGGCCUCACCUGGACAUGGAG
rnacentral:misc_RNA from 1 species